UGGGGAAUCUUNCGCAAUGGGCGAAAGCUGACGCAGCAACGCCGCGUGAGGGAGGACGGCCUUCGGGUUGUAAACCUCUUUCGAUACCGACGAAGGCCSUCACGUGUGGGGGUGGACGGUAGGUGUCAAAGAAGCACCGGCUAACUACGUG
rnacentral:rRNA from 1 species